rnacentral:rRNA from 1 species
GACGAACGCUGGCGGCGUGCCUAAUACAUGCAAGUAGGACGCACAGUCUAUACCGUAGCUUGCUACACCAUAGGCUGUGAGUUGCGAACGGGUGAGUAACGCGUAGGUAACCUGCCUAUUAGAGGGGGAUAACUAUUGGAAACGAUAGCUAAUACCGCAUAACAGUAUGUAACACAUGUUAGAUGCUUGAAAGAUGCAAUUGCAUCGCUAGUAGAUGGACCUGCGUUGUAUUAGCUAGUAGGUAGGGUAAUGGCCUACCUAGGCGACGAUACAUAGCCGACCUGAGAGGGUGAUCGGCCACACUGGGACUGAGACACGGCCCAGACUCCUACGGGAGGCAGCAGUAGGGAAUCUUCGGCAAUGGGGGGAACCCUGACGGAGCAACGCCGCGUGAGUGAAGAAGGUUUUCGGAUCGUAAAGCUCUGUUGUUAAGGAAGAACGAGUGUGAGAAUGGAAAGUUCAUACUGUGACGGUACUUAACCAGAAAGGGACGGCUAACUACGUG